UAAUAAGUGUUUUAUGGCACUUUUUAAAUCCCAUAUCCACCUUGUGUGCAAUGUCGGUCGAUCUUCUUUUUUGAGGAUCGACCAAACAUCAACCUUUAUUUUUUAACUCUUUGUCUGAAAAAUAUUAUGAAUAAACAAUUCAAAAUA
rnacentral:misc_RNA from 1 species